rnacentral:rRNA from 1 species
GGAUGAACGCUGGCGGCGUGCCUAACACAUGCAAGUCGAACGGAGAUUUAACGCUGAUGAGGCUUCGGCGGAAUCUUGUUAAAUCUUAGUGGCGGACGGGUGAGUAACGCGUGGGCAACCUGCCUCGUACUGGGGGAUAACAGUUGGAAACGACUGUUAAUACCGCAUAAGCGCACGGUAUCGCAUGAUACAGUGUGAAAAACUCCGGUGGUACGAGAUGGGCCCGCGUCAGAUUAGCCAGUUGGCGGGGUAACGGCCCACCAAAGCGACGAUCUGUAGCCGGACUGAGAGGUCGGACGGCCACAUUGGGACUGAGACACGGCCCAAACUCCUACGGGAGGCAGCAGUGGGGGAUAUUGCACAAUGGGCGAAAGCCUGAUGCAGCGACGCCGCGUGAGUGAAGAAGUAUUUCGGUAUGUAAAGCUCUAUCAGCAGGGAAGAAAGG